CUUAUUCACAAGCAGAAUCACUGGGCUGUCUGCAGAGCCCAUAUAUGCUACUACGAAGUUUCAGCAUGCAACAGUCCUAAAAACAUAAUGUCCACAGGGAGUGAACACUGCAUUUCGACUGUAUACAGCCUGACUAGGACCACAGACUAUUCAUGUGUUUCCCAAGCAACUACCUACUGACAAGCAAUUACAUCCAAUUUCUUAAUAGCAGAAAGCGGGAGGACUAUUCCUGCAUGAAAAAUCUGAAGACAAUGGAGGGGAAUCAGCCAUACUUACAAGCUUCAUGAUUUUCAUUUAAUUAACCAAGGCUUCUCCCAUGUUUUUGAAUAGACUGCUAUUAAUUUCAAGCCUUUGGGUAAUACAAGAACUGGGAGCAAAGAAGGGGAAACAAAAAAUAAAAAAUAAAAACCACAAGUAAACACAGACCAUGUAUGUGUUUAAAACAAGAUUUUCAGACUUGUUUUGGAAAUAUCAAUGGAGAAUCCACCAUACCCCAGAGCUCCUAAUAACUUCCCCUUAUAUAUUUUAUAUUUGGCGUCCAAUCUGAAUUGUCUUGUUCCAGCUCUUAAUCAAUCACUGUUUCAACAUUUUCUACUGGAAUAAAAAAAA
rnacentral:lncRNA from 1 species